GACUUUGUCUUGUGACAAUUUCUUCACGAACUUAUCGACUCUUCAUCAAUGAAGGUCCGGGCGACAGAAAGUGAAGCCGAAGAGGAAGCGACUCCACGCCAGCUUUAAGAACGUUUAAGGUGGGCAUUACUUUUACUAUACGUAUAUAGAGAUCCCCUGCGUGUCGUAGGCCUCUUAUACGAAUAUAUGCAUGAGAUGAUUUUAACUGUUAAUUUCAGUUUAUUAUUAUGCCCAAAUGAUAAAUGAAAAUGUUUAUGAAAUGAAAUGAAAUGUUUAUGAAAUGAUUGACUGCCGAAAAUGUUUAUGUUUUUAUAUGUAUCCUAUCUGUGUUGGUUCGCCAACUUUAAAGGAAAUCCAAUUGGGAUCCUAUGCUAGACAAAGGUCGCUAGCUAGGGUUAACGUGUACACUCAUGGAGACCGCGAGUCGCUUGCGACCGGUCUUGGCGUCCGUGGUAAGGAGGCCUCCUUCCCGGCGCGUGUCAGAAAGGAACAGAUAUGGAUCAUAUGAAGGAAAAUGAUCGACCGAUCGACUUUAUGAAAAUGAUAGAAAUGUUUUAAGUAAGCGCAGGUCUUUCAUGAAAAACCCCUGUGUGUUACUGUUGGCAGUUCAAUUUAUAUUUGUAUGCAUGUUGUAUUUCGGCUAUGCUACUGAGUAUUUUUAUACUCAGCCCUGCAUGUAUUUCUAAAUGUGCAGGUUGAGCAGGCGAUGGAAUGGUUUGGUGUUGAGCGGGAAUUCUUUUGAUGGAUAUGUAAUGAAACCUUGAGUAUGCAUCUCCAUAUGCAUAACUCACACGUUUUUCCGCUGCAAACACUCUGAAUUUGUUAUCGUAUU
rnacentral:lncRNA from 1 species